AACCAAUCCAGACGACAGAAUCCGCCGCCCGAACCCACCAAUCGGGAGAGGGAGCAGUGUCGGCCUCCUCAUUCCUAAUCACUCUGCGCCCGCCUGUCCAGUGCAGGGAUGUUGGGCAUCAUGACAGAGGGAGUGGAGGAGGCCAGUGUGGAGGCAGGGCUAACGCGGCAUUACCUCUGCGUAGUCCAGCCUCAGGCCUGCGCCCAGGGAGAUUAAUGACUAGAUCCUCUGUUACCUCAGCAUGUGUCUGUCUUCCCUUCUGCCCUUUGGGAGGAGGCAGUUCUUUUUCUCCCCUAAGUUUGGCGGGGUGCAAGGCUGUGAUCCUACAAAGUUACAAAGGGCUGGAACGUGUUGCACACAGCAAGCUGAGCUUUCUGAAGGGUCAGCAAAGAGCAUGUCAGAGCCUCAGGGCAUGUUACAUAAAAAAGACCCUCUGAAACCUACUCGUGGCCCCACAGAUGGCCUCGGACACCUGGUUGAGACCUGAUUUACACCAAUGCAACGCAGCAUUUUUGCAAUGGCCCUUCUUUGCUGUUGUUACCUCAAG